CCGGUAUGCUUCACACAUGUCAAGUCGUACGGAAAAGAGUUUUUAGUGGCGAACGGGUGAGUAAACGUGAUUGCCUUUAGAAGAGGAUAACUAUUAGAAAUAAGUUGCUAAAACUCUAUAUGCCUUACGGUGAAAAAAGAAAUUUGCCUAAAGAGAAGCUCGCGUCUGAUUAGCUAGUUGGUGGGGUAAAGGCCUACCAAGGCGACGAUCAGUAGCUGGUCUGAGAGGAUGAUCAGCCACACUGGAACUGAGACACGGUCCAGACUCCUACGGGAGGCAGCAGUGAGGAAUUUUCUGCAAUGGGCGAAAGCCUGACAGAGCAAUACCGCGUGAGGGAUGACGGCCUAUGGGUUGUAAACCUCUUUUCUCAAGGAGGAAAAUUUGACGUUAC
rnacentral:rRNA from 1 species